GUCCUAGCCUUAAACGAUGAAUGCUUUGUGUCUGGGGUUUUAUAGUCCCCGGGUGCCGUCGCUAACGCUUUAAGCAUUCCGCCUGGGGAGUACGGUCGCAAGACUGAAACUCAAAGGAAUUGACGGGGACCCGCACAAGCGGUGGAGCAUGUGGUUUAAUUCGACGCAACGCGAAGAACCUUACCUGGGCUAGAAUGCCUUCGACAGCCGUAGAGAUACGGUCUCUUGGGUAAAACCAAGCGAAGUGCAAGGUGCUGCAUGGCUGUCGU
rnacentral:rRNA from 1 species